GGCCCUACGGGGCGCAGCAGGCGCGAAAACUUUACAAUGCGGGCAACCGUGAUAAGGGAACCUCGAGUGCCUGUAAAUGCAGGCUGUUCAGAUGCCUAAAACACAUCUGGAGAAAGGGCCGGGCAAGACCGGUGCCAGCCGCCGCGGUAAUACCGGCGGCUCGAGUGGUGGCCACUUUUAUUGGGCUUAAAGCGUUCGUAGCUGGGUUGUUAAGUCUCUUGGGAAAUCUGGCGGCUUAACCGUCAGGCGUCUAAGGGAUACUGGCAAUCUUGGAACCGGGAGAGGUGAGAGGUACUUCGGGGGUAGGAGUGAAAUCCUGUAAUCCUCGAGGGACCACCUGUGGCGAAGGCGCCUCACCAGAACGGCUUCGACAGUGAGGGACGAAAGCUGGGGGAGCAAACCGGAUUAGAUACCCGGGUAGUCCCAGCCGUAAACUAUGCGCGUUAGGUGUAUCGGUGACCACGAGUUACCGAGGUGCCGAAGGGAAACCGUGAAACGUGCCGCCUGGGAAGUACGGUCGCAAGGCUGAAACUUAAAGGAAUUGGCGGGGGAGCACCACAACAGGUGGAGCCUGCGGUUUAAUUGGACUCAACGCCGGGAAGCUCACCGG
rnacentral:rRNA from 1 species